UAUGUCUAUAAAUACCCUGCUUUUAUGUGCAAGGUGCAUAGAUCAAACGGGUCAUGCCAAAAAAACAGAGCAACAACAGAUUAGCGGAACCGUUGUUGUUGUUGCUUGUUAUUUUUCUGGAAGGCACGCGACUUUUUUCGUCUUUUUCACUUGCGUUUACUUAUGUGAAGGAGUUAGAAUUGCCCGCAAUUAACGUAGUUACAUAAAAUAAGCCAGUGGUUUAAAAGUGGUACCUAUACGAUUCCCAGACAAGGCUGAUGUAAAUCUAUAAAAAAAUGGAAGGCUGAGUCGUUCCAUCUUAAGCAUAUUAUCCGAGGAACUUGUUCUGUCCCACAACUUGGAGGGGGGCAAAACAAGAAGAAACUCAGUCUACCCAAAGUUCGUCCGCGCCUUAUUAAAUGCAAUCACUCUGGUGGAGCCUCGGAGCCUCCCGAAAAGUCGCUGCCGAAGGCAAUGCGGUGCGUUAAAAACUUGAGUUGUACCAAAAAAAAAGGCACCAGAUGCUGAGGAGGAGGUGCCAGCGACCACGAUAACACCGGGAACCCCCGAGCUCAAAUUUUAAAAUAAAUAAAUAAAAAUUACAACUGAAAUUUUAUUUGCUGCUAAGCGCUCAACGUGUGCUGAAUGUGCGCUUUUUCGCUGCUUGAAUGAGCGCUCAACGUGUGCUUUUUCCGCUGCGUAAUCGAGCGAUCAACGUGUGCUGAUUGUGUGCUUUUUCCGCUGCUUAAUCGAGCGCUCAACAUGUGCUGAACGUGUGCUUUUUUUGCUGCUCAAAAAAGCGCUCAAUGCGUGCUAGUUCUUGUGCACUGAUGAACCCUAGGACAUGCCUAUGUUAAUUUAAGCACUCAGUUCCAUACAAAUUGUGCUAUUAUUGAGCGCUCAGUGAUGAACUUUUUGCAGUGAUUGAGUGCUCAAUAAGCGCUGAAUGGUACUGCAGGGUAGUUUAACGUGUGGAAGAUGGUAGAUUGAUCUCUGUGGAAAGAGGGUAUUAAAUUGCUGUUGCAAUUUUAAUCGGAUCGAACACAGCGGAUCGGCAAAAACAAACCGAAACCGAAGGAGGCGGGCAUGCAUGUUUAUUUGUGAAUAUCAUAAUAGUUGCAGAAUGUCGUUUAGGGGCU